rnacentral:rRNA from 1 species
AACGAACGUUAGCGGCGCGCCUAACACAUGCAAGUCGAGCGAGAAAGGGCUUCGGCCCCGGUAAAGCGGCGCACGGGUGAGUAACACGUGGGUAACCUGCCCUCGGGUUGGGGAUAACAUUCCGAAAGGAGUGCUAAUACCGAAUAAGACCACGACCUCGAAAGAGGAUGCGGUCAAAGCUGGCCUCUAUACAUAAGCUAGCGCCUGAGGAUGGGCCCGCGGCGCAUCAUGGUAGUUGGUGAGGUAACGGCUCACCAAGCCGAAGACGCGUAGCUGGUCUGAGAGGAUGAUCAGCCACACUGGGACUGAGACACGGUCCAGACUCCUACGGGAGGCAGCAGUGGGGAAUCUUGCGCAAUGGGCGAAAGCCUGACGCAGCGACGCCGCGUGAGUGAUGAAGGCCUCGGUUGUAAGUACGUCUGUGGAGGAGACGAAGUAAGUAGUCGGGCGUAAGUAACUACCGCACUGAUGACGGU